AUACGGAGGGUGCGAGCGUUAAUCGGAAUUACUGGGCGUAAAGAGUACGUAGGCGGUUUGUUAAGUUAGAUGUGAAAGUUUGCAGCUCAACUGUAAAAGUGCAUUUAAAACUGGCAGACUUGAGUCUCGGAGAGGUAAGCGGAAUUCCUAGUGUAGCGGUGAAAUGCGUAGAGAUUAGGAAGAACACCGGUGGCGAAGGCGGCUUACUGGACGAGUACUGACGCUCAGGUACGAAAGCGUGGGGAGC
rnacentral:rRNA from 1 species